AGUUCUCUGGACUAUGUUUAAAAACAACUUUAAUCACAUACACUAUUGACACUAUGUAUAAAGUAGAUGUCUACUGAGAACAUACCUCACAAAGCUGUACAACACCCAGUAUUAUUUCCGGGGCACGCUGUGUAGAGGUUUCAAGCCAAAAGCAGUUUCUUCUGUUUAUUGCUUUAAGUAUCUUUCUAAAAGUUAGGAGACGAAAGUAGAGAGAGGGAAAGUUUCUAUUUAGAUUGUCUCCACUUAGAAAGUCUCCAAUGGACCAAACUAAGAAAAAGAUGACCCUUGAACAACACGAAUUUGAACUGUGCAGGUCCAGUUAAACUUGGAUUUUUUUUCCAGUGGUAAACAUUUCAGUACUACACCAUCUGUGGCUGAUUGAAUCUGCUGACACAGAGGAGCCAUAGCUGAGGAAUCGAGUAUAUGGAGGGCCCACUUGUCACUAGUGGUAAAGAACCCACCUGCCGAUACUGGAGACAUGAGACGUGGGUUUGAUCCCUGGGUCAGGAAGAUCCCCUGGAGAAGAGCAUGGCAACCCACUCUAGUAUUCUUGCCUGGAGAAUCCCAUGGACAGAGGAGCCUGGCAGGCUACAGUCCAUAGCGUCACAAAGAGCUGGACAUGACGGAAGAGAUCUAGCAUGUGCGCAAUAUAAAUUAUGGCUGAAAUUUUAGACUGGGUCAAGGGUCAAAACCACUAACCCCAGCCUUGCUCCAGGGUUAACUGUACAUGUUGUCUGCUCCUCUUGUUUUCGUUUUUGUUUUUUUCCUUUUUUCCUGGCACCCUUAGAAAGAGGAAUGUGAGAGAGAUGACAGGGCUUUUAAUUCUUGUCCAAAGAAUUCCAGGGUAUUUCAGUUGUAAUAUUUGUUCUCUUUCACCAAACUUAAAGUAGCCUGGGAGUGAGUGUCUGAAAGCAUCUGAUAAAAUGACAUGCACAGAGCUGAUGCGAUCGACCUUGUGCAUAUCUUCCCCCUCCUCUAAGAGCGCACAGAAGCAGUUGCUAAUCCUGGACUUAAUGUAAGAGCCUUUAGGAUGGGGUACUGCAAAACUCUCUCCAACCAAUUCAUAAGUGCACUUGGAUUCCUGAAGACUGCCAAGGCCUAAAAAGUCCUUGAUUUGUGAGUUUGGGCAGGGACUGUUGGCUGUCACCCAAUGCUUCUUCUGUAGCAAUAAACUUUACACACCCUAGUUUCUAGCUAAGCAUUUGUGUGCUCGCAAUAAACAAUAUUAUUGUCAGCUUCUCUUGAGUCCAGUUGUGAAUAUGUGACUAAGAUUUAGACAAUGGGGUGUAAAUGGCAGUGUCAAUUGUGUUGGGAACCUACCUUAAGGAUCAGAUGAUAGGCAUCCUUUUCCUCAUUUUUGGGGGGGUGGGUUGUUUGUUUGUUUUUGUCCCUUCCUCUAUCUUGCUGCCUAGAACACAGAUGCGAAGGCUGGAGUUCAACCCAUUAUACUGGAUCACAAGGACGAAAGUCCCUAGGGACUGCAGAAAGGAGGACUACAAAGAACUUGGUCCCCUAGGACCUCAUGAGGCAGAAUUGCUGCUCUGCCUUCCAGCAGUCAUUUGUGAGAGAGAGAAAUCAACUCACAGAGUACAUCAUGAGAAAUGCUGGGCUGGAUGAAGCACAAGCUGGAAUCAAGAUUUCCAGGAGAAAUAUCAAUAACCUCAGAUAUGCAGAUGACACCACCCUUAUGGCAGAAAGUGAAGAGGAACUAAAGAGCCUCUUGAUGAAAGUGAAAGAGGAGACUUAAAAAGUUGACUUAAAGCUCAACAUUCAGAAAACGAAGAUCAUGGCAUCCAGUCCCAUCACUUCAUGGGAAAUAGAUGGGGAAACAGUGAAAACAGUGUCAGUCUUUAUUUUUUGGGCUCCAAAAUCACUGCAGAUGGUAAUUGCAGCCAUGAAAUGAAAAGACGCUUACUCCUUGGAAGGAAAGUUAUGACCCAACCUAGAUAGCAUAUUCAAAAGCAGAGACAUUACUUUGUCAACAAAGGUCUGUCUAGUUAAGGCUAUAGUUUUUCCAGUAGUCAUGUAUGGAUGUGAAAGUUGGACUAUAAAGAAAGCUGAGCACUGAAGAAUUGAUGCUUUUGAACUGUGGUGUUGGAGAAAACUCUUGAGAGUCCCUUGGACUGCAAGGAGAUCCAACCAGUCCAUCCUAAAGCAGAUCAGUCCUGGGUGUUCAUUGGAAGGACUGAUGUUGAAGCUGAAACUCUAAUACUUUGGCCACCUAUGGUAAGAGCUGACUCAUUUGAAAAGACUCUGAUGCUGGGAAAGAUUGAGGGCAGGAGGAGAAGGGGAUGACAGAGGAUGAGAUAGUUGGAUGGCAUCACUGACUCAAUGGACAUGGGUUUGGGUAGACUUCGGCAGUUGGUGAUGGACAGGGAGGCCUGGUGUGCUGCAGUUCAUGGGGUCACAGAGAGUUGAACAUGACUGAGUGACUGAACUGAACUGUUUGUUGUUCUAGUUGAAACCUAGACCAGUGCCUGGUACAUAGGAGAUGCUUAAUAUACCAGAUGAUCCUUAAACAAUGUAGGGGUUAGAGGUGCUGACUGCCUGUGCAGCUAAAAUCCAUGUAUAACUUUUGCCUCCUCCAAAAUUUAGCAAUUAAUUGCCUACAGUUACCAGGAAGCCCUACCUGUUACAUAAACAGUCAAUUAACACAUAUGUAGUAUAUUAUAUGUAUUAUAUUCUGCCUUCUUAUAGUAAGAAGAUGGCAUCACUGACUCGAUGGACAUGAGUUUGAGUAAGCUCUGGGAGUUGGUGAUAGACAGGGAAGCCUGGUGUGCUGCAGUCCAUGGGCUCGCAAAUAAUCAGACAUGACUGAG
ensembl:lncRNA